rnacentral:lncRNA from 1 species
GUAGGUCUCUAGAUGUUAAAGAGAACCCCGAACAACCGAAACUGUUAAUCUUCAAUACCGCUUUGUACUUACGAUCUUGUAUCCAUUGACUGUCUUGUUAGAUUAACCCAAUAAAUUUCAUUCACUCCGCAUACUCAAUCCUAUAGACACCCUUUUAAUCCUUCAAUCACAGACGUAACUCGAUUUCACAAAACAGUCAAGAGUAUUCAAACCCACUUCAUUAAAAAUCUCGAUUCAUCAUUACAAUACUGACUUCAGCAGCGAUUGCCUCAGUCUUC